UACAUUCUCUCUCUAAUCCGAACGCGGCUAGGCAAAGAUCAGGACAGCGCGGAGUCGACGAGACAUAUGGCUCGGGAAACGUAGCUCAAUCCAGUGAUGGGAUACUGCGGUGUACUCCUAAUUAUCCCAACGGACACAUCUAGAAUAUUUAAAUACUGCUAGUUUUUAAUGACUAGUAUUAGCAUGUUACAGCUAAUGCUAUAGCAGCCCAUUGGAUUCUAGCGUUGGGGGUCUGUCCGCAGGUAACAGUGUGAUCGCGUUUAUCAGAAAUAAUGGGAGACUAGUGUCUGUCGCACGGAUUCAAGAGGACCUAGAUGGGAGAAGAUUCACAGGGAAACGUUCUGCUUGGACAAGGCCAAUAUUCUCAGACCAUUGGAUAACCUAUGUAACCGCCAGGUAACUCAGGUUGCAUGUGGAGACCAGCAUUCAAUUUUACUAACUCAGGAUGGUCAGGUUUUCACAUGGGGUCAGAACACCGGCGGUCAGCUGGGUUUGGGGUGGGGCGAGCCACGCGACAUGUCCAUGUUCCCCAAGCCCCUGAAGUCUCUAUCUGGUUCAGAUCACUGGAGGGGGAGACCACAGCUUCGCUCUGUCCCUUUCUGGAGCUGUGUUCGGCUGGGGCAAGAACACCGCCGGGCAACUGGGACUAGGGGACACAACAAACAGAAGUGCUCCAGCUCCUGUUGAUUGCCUGAAUCUGAAGAAGACUGUUUUGAUUUCAUGUGGAGGAGAACAUACUGCUGUUCUGACAAAGGUUGUAUAUCUGUCUGACAUAAUUACACUUUUCCUAUCAUUUGAACUAAAUGUUGUUUGGACCAUACAAUAUGUCUUCCUUGUAUGUGUAUUUAUUUAAAUGGGUGUCUCAAUUAUUUAGUUAGCAAAAGAGGACAUAGUUUGUCCUUUGUACUUAACAUUUCUGUGAUACGUUGCAUCACAUCUUCCCAGGAGUCUGAAGAAAGGUCAAUCUCAGGUCAAGUGACACAACAAGCAUUAGAUUAAGAAAUCAUUGACAAAUGGAUCUCAGAAUGUGAUUCAAAAUCAUGGAAAAUGUACAGAAGUUAGUAUGAUCGUUACUUAAAUAAUUUACCGUUGUUGUUAUUUCCUUAUUUUGUUUAUGUACUGUCACAUACUGAACUGAAAGAUUACUCAAACUUGUAUUUGCAGGAAAUCACAAAAAUGUUUAAAUGGGAGCUUUCUUGAUAAAAGUUGUGACAAACAUUUCCAAACCUCACCUAAACAGUCUGGCCUGGAUUUGUCUCACCGGAAGCUGGCGAAAAAGGACAAAGUUUUGAGGUUGAAGCUGUUGUCCAGCACACACUGCUUCCCUCCCUGUAUGAGGAGCCCAUUGGAGUGGAGGGCUUGGUACAUGGUUCUCCCCGAGCUCCUGAGGGUCCUUCACAAACAACACAGAUGGACAGAUCUCACCGAACCCCUCUUUUACACUGCUGCUACUCUCUGUUCACCAUGUAUGCAUAGUCACUUUAACUAUACAUUCAUGUACAUACUACCUCAACUGGCCCAACCAACCAGUGCUCCCGCACAUUG